UACGGGGGGGGCAAGCGUUGUUCGGAAUUACUGGGCGUAAAGGGCGUGUAGGCGGCCAACUAAGUCCGACGUGAAAUCCCCAGGCUUAACCUGGGAACUGCGUCGGAUACUGGAUGGCUUGAAUCCGGGAGAGGGAUGCAGAAUUCCAGGUGUAGCGGUGAAAUGCGUAGAUAUCUGGAGGAAUACCGGUGGCGAAGGCGGCAUCCUGGACCAACACUGACGCUGAGUGAGCGAAAGCCAGGGGAGCAAACGGG
rnacentral:rRNA from 1 species